GAUGAACGCUGGCGGCGUGCCUAAUACAUGCAAGUCGAGCGAACAGAUAAGGAGCUUGCUCCUUUGACGUUAGCGGCGGACGGGUGAGUAACACGUGGGUAACCUACCUAUAAGACUGGAAUAACUCCGGGAAACCGGGGCUAAUGCCGGAUAACAUUUAGAACCGCAUGGUUCUAUAGUGAAAGAUGGUUUUGCUAUCACUUAUAGAUGGACCCGCGCCGUAUUAGCUAGUUGGUAAGGUAACGGCUUACCAAGGCAACGAUACGUAGCCGACCUGAGAGGGUGAUCGGCCACACUGGAACUGAGACACGGUCCAGACUCCUACGGGAGGCAGCAGUAGGGAAUCUUCCGCAAUGGGCGAAAGCCUGACGGAGCAACGCCGCGUGAGUGAUGAAGGUCUUCGGAUCGUAAAACCCUGUUAUUAGGGAAGAACAAAUGUGUAAGUAACUGUGCACGUCUUGACGGUACCUAAUCAGAAAGCCACGGCUAACUACGUG
rnacentral:rRNA from 1 species